rnacentral:tRNA from 1 species
ACCUGGCUGGCUCAGUCGGUUGAGUAUGUGACUCUUGAUCUUGGGGUUGUGAGUUUGAGCCCCACGCUGGGUA